CCAGUUGUGUAGUAGAAGUUGGGUGGAAUUGAAACUUUGUGGUAGUGGAUGAGUGUUAAUGGGUCAGUUUUGGUGAGAUUUGUUAGUUAGUGGGAUUGUGAGAGUUUGGAUGUUAUAUUUUUUUCUCUUUUUUUCCAGAAAAUUCUUUUUCCCCUUUUGACUUUUUUUCUAUUUCAUUUCUUUAUCUUCUCCGUUUUCUGCUCCCAUUGAUUUUGGUCACAGUUAUCGUUGUUCGUUGUGUUUUGAAUCCCUGGGUUCUUCGUGCGGCUUUGUAGGUAAGAGUUCGUUGUGGUUUUGAAAGGAAUAUUGGUUAAUGUC
rnacentral:lncRNA from 1 species